rnacentral:lncRNA from 1 species
UUUUGCAAUUUGUUUUUUCUCAAAAUGGUACCUCUUUCCUCCACUUCCCACAUGCAAGGCUCUGAUGAUUGUAAUGCCAAAGGGGGUAACUUGUCAGCAUGAGGCUACUUCCCUGAUCAUAGAAAUGAAACAGUCUUUUACGUGGAAAAGACAAGAUAGAGAGAUUUGAACGAAUACGGCACGCCAAAGCUCUCUCUCAUCUCUUGCCCCAAUGAUGGAUCAACCUAGUCUCUGAACUCAAUGAAGUCAUGGUUUAAAUGGG